rnacentral:rRNA from 1 species
UGUAGGCGCAGCGAAAGCGAGUCUUAAUAGGGCGCAUGAGUUAGAUGGAUCAGACCCGAAACCGAGUGAUCUAGGCAUGACCAGGAUGAAGGUAAGGUAACACUUACUGGAGGUCCGAACCCACACCUGUUGAAAAAGGUCGGGAUGAGUUGUGCCUAGGGGUGAAAGGCCAAUCAAACUCGGAGAUAGCUGGUUCUCUGCGAAAUCUAUUUAGGUAGAGCGUCGACCGAAUACCCUCGGGGGUAGAGCACUGGAUGGGCUAUGGGGGCUUACCGCCUUACUGAUCCUAACCAAACUCCGAAUACCGAGAAGUACUAUCCGGCAGACACACAGUGGGUGCUAACGUCCAUUGUGAAGAGGGAAACAACCCUGACCGCCAGUUAAGGUCCCUAAGUUAUGGCUAAGUGGGAAAGGAUGUAGAAAUCCCAAAACAACCAGGAUGUUGGCUUAGAAGCAGCCAUCAUUUAAAGAAAGCGUAACAGCUCACUGGUCUA